AGUGAAGAUUCUCGGAGGGUUCCAGCUGCCCACUGCUCGCACAAUACCCGCUUAGAGGAGCAAACGCCAAUCACCGCAGCGUGCUUUGGAUGGAGCAGGUAUUUUUGAAGACGAAAGCAGGAUCUGAAGUUGGAAACUUCAUCAUGGAGUGCGACCAUGGUGCAUACUGCUAUCUAGCCAGUGAGGUUUUUCUAUUAACACUGACCCAAAGAGAAGCUCCGAGGGAUGAAAGGGUUAUUAUGUGACCGGACACCUUGGGUCACCUGGGGACUGUUCUCCUUCUCCAGAUACAGCCUAUUUUGAAACAAGGACACUUCACCUUUUCCUGUUGAAACUGUUCCUCUCUGUGAAAGAAACUCACAGGUAUGUUUGCCCACAGAACCUGAGUCAACUCAGAUGUGAGGAGAAGUGGGAGAUCUUCAUCUCUGCUCUUCUACAGCCAUUCCUGCUGUACUUGAUCUGAAAGAUAUGUGAAGUAAAACAUUAGCAAGAAUGCUGCCAACAAUGAGAUAAAUGAAGGAUGCUUAGUGGCGGAUAAUGCUGAAAGUUGAACUUCUUUGACCGAAGAGCUACAGCUUCUUCACACUGUGAAGACUGAAGUGUUUCUAUUCCUUAAAGGAGAAUAUAUGAGGAAAUUUGGGUGACUUUAAACGCUUGAAAGAAUUUAGAUAGUGCCAAAGCUAAGCAGUAGAUGAGUGGAAAAUUAGAACAUUGAAUUUUGUUUUAAAUCUCAUCUAAAUCACCUGAAGUCUUGAGUAGGUCUAAAACUCAGCUGAUGUGUGUUUAAAAUAGCUACCAGUGGGAUGGAUUUGUUGAUAUUUAUCUCGGGAAUGUUGUGCUGAUAAAUGUGUCAAGUUCUCACCUAUUACAGUAAUAACUGUACCAUAUAUGGAUGUAG
rnacentral:lncRNA from 7 species